AAUGCAUACAUUUGUCCCAUACACUAUGGGGAUGGUGAGAACAGAUAUAUUUUACAUCCUAGAGGGAUAAUUGGAGAUACUAUUGUUUCUGGUACAAAAGUUCCUAUAUCAAUGGGAAAUGCCCUACCUUUGACUGCGGUUUGA
rnacentral:rRNA from 1 species